rnacentral:rRNA from 1 species
UACGUAGGGGGCAAGCGUUGUCCGGAUUUAUUGGGCGUAAAGAGCGUGUAGGCGGCCAGGUAGGUCAGCUGUGAAAACUCGAGGCUCAACCUCGAGAUGCCGGUUGAAACCAUCUGGCUAGAGUCCGGAAGAGGAGAGUGGAAUUCCUGGUGUAGCGGUGAAAUGCGCAGAUAUCAGGAAGAACACCCGUGGCGAAGGCGGCUCACUGGCUCAUUUUCUGACGCUCAGGCGCGACAGCGUGGGGAUCAAACAGG